AGAGUUUGAUCCUGGCUCAGGACGAACGCUGGCGGCGUGCUUAACACAUGCAAGUCGAACGGAAAGGCCCUUUCGGGGUACUCGAGUGGCGAACGGGUGAGUAACACGUGGGUGAUCUGCCCUGCACUUUGGGAUAAGCCUGGGAAACUGGGUCUAAUACCGAAUACACCUCACUGGCUGCAUGGUUGGUGGGGGAAAGCUUUUGCGGUGUGGGAUGGGCCCGCGGCCUAUCAGCUUGUUGGUGAGGUUACGGCUCACCAAGGCGACGACGGGUAGCCGGCCUGAGAGGGUGACCGGCCACACUGGGACUGAGAUACGGCCCAGACUCCUACGGGAGGCAGCAGUGGGGAAUAUUGCACAAUGGGCGCAAGCCUGAUGCAGCGACGCCGCGUGGGGGAUGACGGCCUUCGGGUUGUAAACUCCUUUCAGCACAGACGAAGCGCAAGUGACGGUAUGUGCAGAAGAAGGACCGGCCAACUACGUGCCAGCAGCCGCGGUAAUACGUAGGGUCCGAGCGUUGUCCGGAAUUACUGGGCGUAAAGAGCUCGUAGGUGGUUUGUCGCGUUGUUCGUGAAAACUCACAGCUUAACUGUGGGCGUGCGGGCGAUACGGGCAGACUUGAGUACUGCAGGGGAGACUGGAAUUCCUGGUGUAGCGGUGGAAUGCGCAGAUAUCAGGAGGAACACCGGUGGCGAAGGCGGGUCUCUGGGCAGUAACUGACGCUGAGGAGCGAAAGCGUGGGGAGCGAACAGGAUUAGAUACCCUGGUAGUCC
rnacentral:rRNA from 1 species